UGUUCCUCUCUGCAGGUUAAAUGUGGAAUGAUGUUCCUCUCUGCAGGUUAAAUGUGGAAUGAUGUUCCUCUCUGCUGGUUAAAUGUGGAAUGAUGUUCCUCUCUGCUGGUUAAAUGUGGAAUGAUGUUCCUCUCUGCAGGUUAAAUGUGGAAUGAUGUUCCUCUCUGCUGGUUAAAUGUGGAAUGAUGUUCCUCUCCGCAGGUUAAAUGUGGAAUGAUGUUCCUCUCUGCAGGUUAAAUGUGGAAUGAUGUUCCUCUCUGCAGGUUAAAUGUGGAAUGAUGUUCCUCUCUGCAGGUUAAAUGUGGAAUGAUGUUCCUCUCUGCAGGUUAAAUGUGGAAUGAUGUUCCUCUCUGCAGGUUAAAUGUGGAAUGAUGUUCCUCUCUGCAGGUUAAAUGUGGAAUGAUGUUCCUCUCUGCAGGUUAAAUGUGGAAUGAUGUUCCUCUCUGCAGGUUAAAUGUGGAAUGAUGUUCCUCUCUGCGGGUUAAAUGUGGAAUGAUGUUCCUCUCUGCAGGUUAAAUGUGGAAUGAUGUUCCUCUCUGCUGGUUAAAUGUGGAAUGAUGUUCCUCUCUGCAGGUUAAAUGUGGAAUGAUGUUCCUCUCCGCAGGUUAAAUGUGGAAUGAUGUUCCUCUCCGCAGGUUAAAUGUGGAAUGAUGUUCCUCUCUGCAGGUUAAAUGUGGAAUGAUGUUCCUCUCUGCAGGUUAAAUGUGGAAUGAUGUUCCUCUCUGCAGGUUAAAUGUGGAAUGAUGUUCCUCUCUGCAGGUUAAAUGUGGAAUGAUGUUCCUCUCUGCAGGUUAAAUGUGGAAUGAUGUUCCUCUCUGCGGGUUAAAUGUGGAAUGAUGUUCCUCUCUGCAGGUUAAAUGUGGAAUGAUGUUCCUCUCCGCAGGUUAAAUGUGGAAUGAUGUUCCUCUCUGCAGGUUAAAUGUGGAAUGAUGUUCCUCUCUGCAGGUUAAAUGUGGAAUGAUGUUCCUCUCUGCAGGUUAAAUGUGGAAUGAUGUUCCUCUCUGCAGGUUAAAUGUGGAAUGAUGUUCCUCUCUGCAGGUUAAAUGUGGAAUGAUGUUCCUCUCUGCAGGUUAAAUGUGGAAUGAUGUUCCUCUCUGCAGGUUAAAUGUGGAAUGAUGUUCCUCUCUGCGGGUUAAAUGUGGAAUGAUGUUCCUCUCUGCAGGUUAAAUGUGGAAUGAUGUUCCUCUCCGCAGGUUAAAUGUGGAAUGAUGUUCCUCUCUGCAGGUUAAAUGUGGAAUGAUGUUCCUCUCUGCAGGUUAAAUGUGGAAUGAUGUUCCUCUCUGCAGGUUAAAUGUGGAAUGAUGUUCCUCUCUGCAGGUUAAAUGUGGAAUGAUGUUCCUCUCUGCAGGUUAAAUGUGGAAUGAUGUUCCUCUCUGCUGGUUAAAUGUGGAAUGAUGUUCCUCUCUGCAGGUUAAAUGUGGAAUGAUGUUCCUCUCUGCAGGUUAAAUGUGGAAUGAUGUUCCUCU